rnacentral:rRNA from 1 species
GGUUAAGCGACUAAGCGUACACGGUGGAUGCCCUGGCAGUCAGAGGCGAUGAAGGACGUGCUAAUCUGCGAUAAGCGUCGGUAAGGUGAUAUGAACCGUUAUAACCGGCGAUUUCCGAAUGGGGAAACCC